AACCUACGGGAGGCAGCAGUGGGGAAUAUUGGGCAAUGGGCGCAAGCCUGACCCAGCAAUGCCGCGUGAAGGAAGAAGGCCCUCGGGUUGUAAACUUCUUUUGUCAGGGACGAAGCAAGUGACGGUACCUGACGAAUAAGCCACGGCUAACUACGUGCCAGCAGCCGCGGUAAUACGUAGGUGGCAAGCGUUAUCCGGAUUUAUUGGGUGUAAAGGGCGUGUAGGCGGGGAUGCAAGGCAGAUGUGAAAACUUUG
rnacentral:rRNA from 1 species